UAACCUGCCUUGUACUGGGGGAUAGCAGCUGGAAACGGCUGGUAAUACCGCAUAAGCGCACAAUGUUGCAUGACAUGGUGUGAAAAACUCCGGUGGUAUAAGAUGGACCCGCGUCUGAUUAGCUAGUUGAUGAGAUAACAGCCCACCAAGGCGACGAUCAGUAGCCGACCUGAGAGGGUGACCGGCCACAUUGGGACUGAGACACGGCCCAG
rnacentral:rRNA from 1 species